rnacentral:lncRNA from 1 species
GCUCGGGCUGCUGGCUGCAGUAACAUGCUUUUGGGUGCAGCUUUGCAGUUCUGGGCGGGCAUCAAAUAAUCAAAUCUAGGACCUUACAUGCUAGGCAAGCACUCUACUACUGAGCUACAUCGCCUGCCCAGAUCCUGCAUUUUUAAUAAGAUCUCAAGUAGCGCUGGGGCUGGAGAAUGUUCUGUGAUGGUGGAAACCAACAUCUGCUCUGUUCAAUCCACUGGCCUCGCCUUUUGACAAGCUGGAGUAAGCCCCCUGGUCUGUGGCACUUUGUUACAGAGACCCCGGGAAAUGACUCAAGGCUCCUGUGCUCCUUUGCUCGCACCCUUCUUGUGCAAGGAAUGAUCAAAAAUAAGUCAACAC